rnacentral:lncRNA from 1 species
CCUUAUACUUCAUUUCCAAUCACAGCCAAACCAAAGUGUUAAAGAGACAAAUUGAGACGAGUUGAAAUGAAGCUAUGUAUCCUUUUACUGAGCCUGAUGAACUAUCAAGUCCUGCAUAUAUUUUGGCUUUUCCCUGAUGUAUAUCUCUUCUCCUUUUUCUUCUUAGGUCAUCGAAAGGCUUGACGAGUGAUAGGAGUAUCUGCCACUGACUUCCAUGUCUGACUAAACUGGCUCGCUUAAAAUCAUCUUCCCAGACACUCUCAAAAGACCAAGUAGGAACUUUUGGACCU